rnacentral:rRNA from 1 species
AGGGUUCGAUCAUGGCUCAGGAUGAACGCUGGCGGCGUGCUUAACACAUGCAAGUCGAACGAACCUUCGGGUUAGUGGCGGACGGGUGAGUAACGCGUGAGAAUCUGCCCUCAGGAGGGGGAUAACGGUUGGAAACGACCGCUAAUACCCCAUAUGCCUACUGGUGAAACGAAUUUCGCCUGAGGAUGAGCUUGCGUCUGAUUAGCUAGUUGGUGAGGUAAUGGCUCACCAAGGCUUCGAUCAGUAGCUGGUCCGAGAGGAUGAUCAGCCACACUGGGACUGAGACACGGCCCAGACUCCUACGGGAGGCAGCAGUGGGGAAUUUUCCGCAAUGGGCGAAAGCCUGACGGAGCAACGCCGCGUGAGGGACGAAGGCCUCUGGGCUGUAAACCUCUUUUCUCAAGGAAGAAGAUAUGACGGUACUUGAGGAAUAAGCCACGGCUAAUUCCGUGCCAGCCGCCGCGGUAAUAC